ACAUGUUCAUUCCCUUCUGCGUAGCUACGCUAGAGUGUGUUCCGGAGCCUCGGCACACAUUUUAUUAUCAAAAAAAAAACACAAAAAAAAUAUAUAAAAUAAAUAAACACAAGGGAAGAUUAUUUUUUUGUAAGAAAAAGAAAAAACUCGGUGAAGCAGGAUUUAACAAGUAACCCGUCGAAAAUAGGACGAGAUUUCGGAAGAGAAGGUCAUUUUGUUCCAUUUUGAUAACAUUGCUGGAAAGGCGUGGGGUGAUUUCAUUUUAAUAGUUAACCGAGACCUUUUAUGAUUAUUUUAUUAGCUAGAAGCUAUAACGUAGCAGGGGAUUUUUUGUUGUUGUCGCAUCUGUUAUUAUUGUAACGUUAACUAGUCGUAGCUACUAUUAAACUUUUAUUUUGUAAUUUAUUUCCUCCCGAAGGUAACGUAGCAGAAUUAGCCAACCGGCCCGCAUUGCUUUUUUUAGGGCCUAAGUGCGAAGUAGUUAACGUCCAAAACAUUUAUUUUUAUUUCAUUUUUUUUAGCAAACAGCAAAUCUUCGGUGUCAUAAGACCCCAUUUCACGUUAACCUGACAACGUAACGUGUUUAUUCCCCUCCCGUAUUAGUUAUUUAAAAACCCCAUAAUGAAUCCAAGCGCCCCCAGUUACCCGAUGGCCUCCCUGUACGUGGGCGACCUGCACCAGGAUAUCACCGAGGCCAUGCUGUACGAGAAGUUCAGCCCCGCCGGGCCCAUCCUCUCCAUCCGGGUCUGCAGGGACAUGAUCACUCGGCGAUCCCUCGGAUAUGCCUACGUCAACUUUCAACAACCAGCCGAUGCUGAACGUGCCCUGGACACCAUGAACUUUGACGUCAUCAAAGGGAGACCUCUGCGUAUCAUGUGGUCUCAGCGUGACCCUUCCCUGAGGAAGAGUGGGGUGGGCAACAUCUUCAUCAAGAACCUGGACAAGUCCAUUGACAACAAGGCCCUCUAUGACACCUUCUCGGCGUUCGGAAACAUCCUAUCCUGCAAGGUGGUUUGUGACGAGAAUGGCUCAAAAGGCUAUGGCUUUGUGCAUUUUGAGACCCAGGAGGCGGCUGAAAGAGCCAUUGAGAAAAUGAACGGCAUGCUGCUCAAUGACAGAAAAGUGUUCGUCGGGCGUUUCAAAUCCCGCAAAGAGCGCGAGGCUGAGCUCGGAGCCAGAGCCAGAGAGUUCACCAACGUGUACAUCAAGAACUUCGGAGAGGACAUGGACGACGAGAAGCUCAGGGAGCUGUUUGGGAAAUAUGUUCCAGGACCGGCCCUGAGCAUCAGGGUGAUGACGGACGACAGCGGGAAGUCCCGAGGGUUCGGCUUCGUCAGCUUUGAGAGGCACGAGGAUGCUCAGAGGGCUGUAGACGAGAUGAACGGGAAGGAUUUCAACGGGCGACAGGUCUACGUGGGCCGAGCCCAGAAGAAGGGAGAGCGCCAGACGGAGUUGAAACGCAAGUUUGAGCAGAUGAAGCAGGACCGUAUGACCCGCUACCAGGGGGUCAACCUGUACGUCAAGAAUCUGGACGAUGGCCUCGACGACGAGCGGCUGAGGAAGGAGUUCUCUCCUUUCGGUACCAUCACCAGCGCCAAGGUGAUGAUGGAAGGUGGUCGCAGCAAGGGCUUCGGCUUUGUGUGCUUCUCCUCCCCGGAGGAGGCCACCAAGGCCGUGACGGAGAUGAACGGGCGCAUCGUGGCCACCAAGCCGCUGUACGUGGCGCUGGCCCAGAGGAAAGAGGAGCGCCAGGCUCACCUCACCAACCAGUACAUGCAGAGGAUGGCCACCGUCCGGCCCGUACCCAACCCAGUCCUCAACCCCUACCAGCCUGCCCCUCCCUCUGGGUACUUCAUGGCUGCCAUCCCCAGACUCAGAACCGCGCUGCCUACUACUCCACCAAUCAGCUGGCUCAGCUGAGACCAGGCCCACGCUGGGCCACCCAGGGCGUCAGACCACAACACUUCCAGAACAUGCCCAACGCCAUGCGCCCGUCCGCCCCCAGGCCGCAGACCUUCGGCGCCAUGAGGCCCUCGUCAUCCCAGGUGCCACGCAUGAUGGCCGGCCAGAGAAUGGCCACCCAGGCCCUGGGCCAGCGUCCUGCCGGUGCGGCGGCUGCUGCAGCCCCGGUGAGGAUGCCUCAGUACAAGUAUGCAGCAGGCGUGAGGAACCCCCAGCAGCACAUGUCCAGCCAGCCCCAGGUGCCCAUGCAGCAGCCGGCUGUCCACGUCCAGGGACAGGAGCCUCUGACGGCCUCCAUGCUGGCGGCGGCUCCUCCUCAGGAACAGAAGCAGAUGUUGGGCGAGCGUCUGUUCCCUCUCAUCCAAAACAUGCACCCUAGUCUGGCUGGAAAGAUCACCGGCAUGCUGUUGGAGAUCGACAACUCCGAGUUGCUCCACAUGCUGGAGUCUCCCGAGUCUCUCCGCUCCAAGGUGGACGAGGCUGUCGCUGUGCUGCAGGCUCACCAGGCCAAGGAGUCCGCCCAGAAGCCCACCAACCCCGCCGGAGUCCCCAGCUAAGAACCGAGACGGUAAUCUUGCUUCACCGAAGAAAAUGGUAGAAAAAAAUUUAAACAUGGAAAAAACCCUGAAAACUCUGAAAACAUUGCAAAAAUGAAUAAAGUUUUUCUUUACAAAAAAUGAAUACAACAUCUGCCGGGUCUAGAGAAGAUUAAGCUAGUCCUCGUUAUUAAAAGUUACAAAAGUGGACAAACACAAAAAAAAAAAAAAAAUAGAAAAACACUUAUCUUAAUUAUUGAAAAAUGUUUGACAAAAUGUGACCAUUAAAAUUAAAAACAUUCCAUUGUUUUAUUUCCUCUUCCAGUAUCAAUACUCAGAUUAUCAGCUGUUGUGUUCGGAGAUGAGAUAGCUGAGUACUUUGUCAUUUGGAUUGAAAACUGCUAAAUAAAGAUAUCAAACACUUAAAA